ACAUGUGUCAUUUUAAAAUCAAACAAUAAGAAAAAAAUAAUUACCCCGUGCUCAACCCCGUCGUCUUCUUCACCCCACCCAACCCAGUUUCCCUCUCCACCCUCACCCACCCCAACCCCUACAACUCCUCCACCCUACCAGCCACCAGAUCUUCCUCUCCACCCCAACCGCAACUAUUCCUCCACCCCACAAGCCACCAUAUCGUCCUCUCCGCCACCCACCACUCCAACUUCAACCUCCACCCACAUCAAAUUUUCAAGAGAUACUUCCAAAAGAACUUAAUUAGUUUGAAAAAAUUAUCUUACAAAAGUAUGAUGUUUUCUUCUUUGACUACUAGAAAUUUGACCUAAUGCAAUGCUUAUUUGGCAACAAUUUUACAAUCGUGGCAAUAGAUUAUGUGUUGCGACAGUUAUAACCGUUGCAAUAUAUCCUUAGAUCUAGUAGAACAAUUUCUCAUAUAAAACCGUGGCAUCAUCUAUAUAAUCACCUUAAUAGAGAAUCUAUGGCCACACACUUAUUAACCGUGGCAAAAAAAUAGUCUGUGGCAACGGUUUGAUUAAGUGAAAACGAAAAAGAAUUGCCCAACCCACGAAUUUUAUGUGAAAAUUUUAUUUCCCUCCAUCAAUUUAGUCUGUGUCCUGCUUUUUUUUUCAUUUUAGUGAAUUAAGUCCUCUAAAAUACAUUUCCAAAAAACUUAAACACUUCAUUUCUCUAAAUUUCCAGAACCCAAUGACUCCUUCAUCUUCCACAACAAUGUUUGUGCUUCGGUGAAGAGAAUCAGUGGUCGUCUUCUUCGAUGACUCCUCCAUCUUCUACAAAAAAACAUUUAGCUUCUCCUACGGUGGUCAUUUUGGUCGAUUUGAAGUGUUCAUCUUAAGUGGAAUUCAUCUCCAAAAGUAGUCUUCUUCAACAUUAAGCUUCUAGAUAAAGAGGUGUACUAUUUUAAGGGUAUUAAAUGGAAGUUGGAGAUAAAAGUUGGAUGGAUCUCCAAAGUUCCACUAAUGAGUAUAUCCAUGGAGUUAAUGUUUUCCUGGAUAAGGCAUUUGAAUGAUCUUCUCAAAAAGAUGAAACAUUAUGUCCUUGUAAGAAGUGCUUUAAUUGUUAUUGGCAUUGUCGAAAUAUGGUGGAGGAUCACUGAUUUGUCAUGGUUUGUUCAUGGAUACACCAAAUGUGUUUUCCAUGGAGAAGGGUUUUCCUCAAGAAAUACGCUACAUCCAACCAAUGAUGAUGAAACAUUCGGCAGACAAGACGGUAUUGAUAAACUACUUCAAGAUACUUUUAGAAAUGUAGCGGAUGACCCGAGGCAUGAAGGACUAAGAGAGGGACCAUCUGAAGAUGCAAAGCAAUUCUCUAAAUUAGUUAAAGAAGGGAAAGAAGACUUGUACCCGUGGUGUCAGAACUUUUCUAUGUUGGAUUUCACCAUUCGGUUGUACUUGUUUAAAUGCAUUCACAAGUUGAGUAAUGUAGCCUUUUCAGAUUUGUUGGACUUGAUAAAAGAGGCAUUUUCCUUUGCUCAGAUACAUGAGUCUUUCUACAAGGCAAAAAAGGUGACAAAAAUUUAGGUCUUCAUUAUGAAAAUUCAUGCAUGUCGUAACGAUUGCAUGUUAUUCUGGAAUGACACUGUAAAGUUAGACUAGUGCUCAGUGUGUGGAUUAUUUAGGUAGAAGGACUUGACUAAUAAGGUCACUAAAAUUCUAGCAAAGGUUUUAAGGUACUUUCCUUUAAAGCCUAGGCUUCAGAGCAUAUUCAUGUGUUCUGAAACAUCUAUAGCUAUGAGAUGACAUGAUAUAGAAUGACUCAAAGAUUGAAAUUUAAGACAUCCUGUUGAUGGGGAAGCUUGGAAGGAUUUUGAUUCCUUGCAUACGGAUGACUUUGCUAGUGAUGCUAAUAACAUUAGAUUGGGUCUUUCAAGUGAUGAUUUUAAUCCAUUUCGAACUAUGAUCAUUUCCCAUAGCACAUGGUCGGUUAUGUUGAUGAAUUAUAACUUAUCGCCAUGGAUUUGCAUGAAGUCGAAGUAUAUAAUGUUGUCAACGAUUAUUCAAGGUCCAUCGUCUCUUGGAAAUGAUAUAGAUGUAUACUUACAACCACUGAUUGCAGAGUUGAAGGAACUAUGGAAAGUGGGAAUGGAAACAUAUGAUGUUGUAACUAAUCAAACAUUCAUAUUGCGUGCAUCUUUAUUGUCGACAAUUAGUGAUUUUCUAGCAUUGUCAAUGCUUUCCGAAUGGAGUACCCAGGGAAAAUGGGCUUCCCCACUUGCAAUCAUAAUACUUGUUCCCAAUAUCUCAAACACAGUCAUAAGAUGUGUUAUUUGGGUCAUCAAGCAUUUUUACCUCAUGAUCAUCCAUAUAGAGAUAAAAAAAUCCUUUAAUGGUAAAGAGGAGCAUAGAGUUGCACCUACUCCCUUAUCAGGCGUACAAGUUCUUGAAGAACUUCGUGAAUUCAAUAAUGUUUUUGGGAAGGACCAAAAUAAAAGAAAACGAAAGAAUGAUGGUCCAUGGAAAAAGAGAUCCAUAUUUUUGAUUUGCCGUAUUGGGCGACCAACAAAUUGAGGCACAAUCUUGAUGUGAUGCACAUAGAGAAAAAUAUUUGUGACAGUUUUCUUGGGACUUUAUUAGAUAUACUUGGAAAGUCCAAAGAUCAUAUAAAUUCUCGCUAUGAUUCGCAUAAGAUGGGGAUACGCAAAGAGCUUCAACUAGUAAAAGAUUGUGAUACUAGAAAUAUUCAUUUGGCUAAUGUUUGUUUCUCUAUGUAACCAGAUGAGAAAAGGUUAUUUUGCACUGUUUUAAAAUAUGACAAAUUACCAAAAGAAUUUGUCUCUAAUAUAUCAAGUCGUGUGCAAGUUGAAGAUAUGAAAGUAUCAGGAUACAAAAGCCAUGAUGCUCACGUCAUUUUGCGUUACUUGAUCCAGGUUGCUGUUAGAAAAGUGUUGCCCAAGAAUGUGUCUUUGGUCUUAAUUAGGUUGGGGAUUUUUUUAGAGCCAUAUGCAGUAAGGUUAUAAGAACAAGCAUUGUUGAUAAGCUGAAGGCUGAAAUCAUUGAUAUAGAAUAUGAGCUUGAAAAGUUUUUUCCUCCAUCUUUUAUUGAUAUAAUGACACAUUUGCCUAUCUAUUUAGUGGAUGAAAUUAAGCUUGGAGGCCCGACUCGUUUGCGUUGGAUGUAUUCUACUGAAAGAACUAUGUGUGACUUCAAGGGGCUUGUUCGUAAUCGAAAAAAUCCAGAAGGGGCAAUAGUAUAGGGUUUUUCAGCUUUAGAUUGUUUGACCUUUAUUUCGAGAUACCUACCUGAAAAGGUGAAGGCAACAUUUAGUAGGUACCAAACCGAGGAUGAUGAGGACAAUCAAAUAGAGGAAGGUGAUGCUUUAUCUUUAUUUCCUAAGACAGGUCAUCAAAUCGGAAGUAUGAAUAAAAGGAACCGAAAGACUUUUAACAUGGAGAAUCAUGAGAAGUCUGAAGCUCAUCGAUAUGUUUUUUUCAAUACCAGAGAUGAAAAAGUAGAGACAUUCAUCGAGGAACACAAGAAUUUAAUUUAUAAUCUUAUCAAAGGAAAUGCAUGGAUAAAAGCACAAAUCCAUAGUAGAGAAUUCAGUGAUUGGUUUAGGGAUAAAGUUAAAAAUAUAGAAGUUUCCAAUCAUUUAAUGGCUAGCUAAAGGACCUAAUUUUGUGGCUAAAAGAUACACUGGAUAUUUCAUUAAUGGACAUAUAUUUCAUACAAAGACACGGGAUGUCCCUUGCAAGACUCAGAAUACUGGAGUUACUUUGUCAGCAUCAACAUAGUUUUGCUAGCGCUAGGGACCAAAAUCCUAUCGAUGGAAUGGUUAUCUAUUAUGGAAUUAUUCAGGAUAUCAUUGAGAUUUAUUAUUGGGGUUGCUUUAGUGUUGUACUUUUUCAAUGUGAUUGGUUUCAUAACGAAGUUGAUGAAUAUGGAUUGACUCGGGUAUACUUCAAUAAACAAUGCAAUACAAAUGAUUCUUUUGUACUAGCAUCUCAAGUGCAUCAAGUUCUUUUUAUGUGGAAGACCCAAUUGAGAAAGAUGUAUAUUAUGCAAGACAUAAAGUUCCAGUGGAUUUGUAUGAUUUAGAGGAAGCGAAUUGUCCUAAUAUUAAAGAAACAUUUUGGAGAGAGACUAACGAUGACAUUGGUUCAUCAGAAAGAGUACUCGAUGUAGAUGUUAGAUGGUCAAGAGAAGAUCUCCUUGUUGAUAUCAUUGAUCUGCCUAUCUUAGCACAACAUUCAGAAGAUGUAGCUAUAGAAACACUUGAAGAGGAGGAUGACUUUGAUGAUACUGAUUGGGAUUAGAUGGAAGCUGAUGAUUGACAAAGGAUCUUUUGAACUUGUUCAAUACUGUCGCUUCUAUAUUUUUAUGUACUGUGUAAUAAAUUCCUUUUUGAGUUGCAUCAUAUAAAGUAUAAAUGUCGAUUGUACUCUACUUGGUUUCUGCCUAUUUGCUACUGCUAGUUGCUUGAUUUUUGCUAAUUUGUUCUGGAAUAUUUUCUUGUUAAUGUUGGUACUAUAGAUAUAUUAGUUAUUAACAUUCUUUAUUUAUUUAUAUGUUAUACUUCUCUUUGCAUCUUCUAUCAUUGCUUGUUAUUCCUCUUCAGCUUGAAUCCAUUGCUUGUUAUUCCUCUUCCCCAAGAUAGAAUCUUUCUUGUUGAUUGGUUGAAAAGUGAUCCACUAACCAACAUUUUUUUUCAAAUAAGAAACAAAAGGAGCAUAGUUCUUUACACACUACUGACCCUAUUGUUGUUUGUUCUUCUGACUUUCAUUGAUUAUGUUAUUCACUUUUGAAAAUUCUGCACUAAGAGGCUUUUUAUGUCUUAUUUUUACAAAAAAUUUGGAUAGUCAUGAGUCAAAAAGAGUCUUCAAAAAGGAAAAAAAGCAAAGACAUAUGCUAAAACUGACAUUAUCAUUCUUGGAAAAUAAAAAAACGACGGUUAUUGACAACAAAUGAAAUUGUUCAAGCUAUAAAGUUAGAGAAAUGACAACUGCUUAAGUUAAUAGAAGAACAAGCAGUAGCACCACAACCAACGUUGGACCCACAAGAUAGUGUCACGUAGGUAAAAAAAGGAUAGAAAACUAUUAUUAGAAUAAGUUUAGGAGGAUAAUAGGACCUUCGUAUAGUAUAAGUGUGUCUCUGAGAUUUCGAGCAUAGAUUGAGGGGGUACUUGUGCAUUAUCCCAAACUAAUUACUAGGAGUACUUGUAAUAAGUUAGUUUGUUUUGGUAACCUAUCUGUAAUCACUGGUACUUGUGAUAUUGUAACCACUUAAUUAAUUAUAUUAUAUAUAAAAUAUCCUUUUUAUUCAAAAAAAAAAAGGGAAAAUGCGCAAGCAUUCCCUCAACCUAUGUCCGAAAUCCCAAAGACACACUUAUACUAUACUAAGGUCCUAUUACCCCCUUGAACUUAUUUUAUAAGUAAUUUUCUAUCUCUUUUCAACUUAUGUGGGACUAGCUUGAAUAAAAACAUCAACCAACAUUGGGCCCACAAGAUAGUGCCACGUAGGCAAAAAGGGUAAAAUAUUAAUAAAAUAA